UUGACAGCUCUGGAAGCUGAAGCCCUUUCUUAUUCCCAUACCAGAUACAGCAUGAGCAGUGGCAGUCACAGCUUCUCUUGGGCUCUUUCAUUCCAGAUGGUUCAGUUCUGUUGUUCUGCCAUUUGCCUCCAAGGAUGAGAAGGUAGUUAGGUUCCACAGCCUGUUUGGUCUAUUUAGUCU
ensembl:misc_RNA